UGUCAAGGGAACGUUUUGUUUAGGUUGUAGAAUAGUGGUGCAAGUCAGACUUACACCACUUUUCCUCCUCUUUGGACGGCGUAGUCAUAGAGGAAUGUUCAUAGUGUAAACAUUACAAUGGCUGAUGAAGUUGUUAUUGGCGAUGUAAGUGACGAUGACAGUGAGCCUAGUGUUUCAGCACAUUCAGGAACUGAUGAAUGGGAACCAUCAAGUUUAGAUGAUGCUGGAAGUGAAGAGGGGGAAGAAGGCAAGCGGCAUUAGAAAGGAAUGGAAGUGCUUCACAUGAGGAAAGGGAAACUCCAAAACAAACUAGAAAAAGAUGAAAAUAUGAAAAUAAAAAGGAAACCCGAAAAAGGCUUAGAAAUUCAGGCUGUGAGUGCGAAACACAUUGUCACAUACAGUGAUUCAUGUACAGGCCAAAAUCACAACUGGAAUUUUGCCUUAUCGAUGUUAAAGUUAGUUGGUAAAAUAUACCAACAAGAUUAAGACUCUCGACUAUAAAUUUAUGGUCAGCGGCCACUCAUACUUACCCAAUGACACAGACUUUGGGUCAGUUGAGAAUUAUUUCAAAGGCAAGCAUAUUUAUUUGCUAGAAGAUUGGUACUCAGCGAUUCUAAAAUCACGAAGAAAGAAACCCAUGUCACACAAAUGGCUAGAGAAGAUUUUAAGAGUGCGGCCACCCUUGUGAAAGCCAUCACAAAGAGAAAAAAAAAAAUAUGGAUAAUGAUGAUGUGUCGUGGUUACGAAUCCAGUGGAUUCAAUGCCAGCGUAAUGAGCCUUUCACUUUAUUUUACAAAGAGAAUCUUGAUGAAGAAAUGUGUUUCUCGACUAUUAGUAUACUCCCAAGCAAACAGAAAGGUAGGCCAAGGCUUUUGCAAAACAUUGGUCAAAACUGCCUGUACAGCACACCUAAACCAGUACAUGUACAGAAGAAAAAAGACAUGAGUGACUUGCUACCUUUCAUCCCACCAAUACACCAUACGUACUUCAAGAAUCUCGCAGUAAAUGCUACAGUCACUGAAGAUGCAGGACCUCUGACGGACGAGGAUGAAAGUGAUGACUAAAACAACACGUAUCACUAAAACAACAAAGUGUUUCAGUGCUUUAAUGUAUGUUACAUCAGUGUCUCAAUGUGUUCUUCACAUUUGUUUCUAAUGCCAGAUAUAUACUUAACAUACGUAUGUACUACUUAAUGCACUAUGUUUAUAUAAAUACAAUUUGUUACACUUUUAAAACCAGCAGUGUUAACAUGCCUUUCGGAAUACCCCAAAUAUAUGAAGGAAAAGUGAUGUAAGUUAUAUUAACCCUCUUAAACUCACCCUUAUGUGUACAUAAUUGUUACAUAUAUGGUAGCAAAAGUUAGAUACAUUAUUGCUAAGAUAAUAUAGAACAUAAUUAAAUGUAACGGAAAGGCGUAGAAUUAAUUGUAGCAUAACUAGUAAAACCUCUUAUUACUCAAAA